CAGCCGCCACGGGAAUACGAAGGGUGCAAGCGUUACUCGGAAUUACUGGGCGUAAAGCGUGCGUAGGUGGUGGUUUAAGUCCGUUGUGAAAGCCCUGGGCUACCUGGGAAUUGCAGUGGAUACUGGGUCACUAGAGUGUGGUAGAGGAUAGUGGAAUUUCCGGUGUAGCAGUGAAAUGCGUAGAGAUCGGAAGGAACAUCUGUGGCGAAGGCGACUAUCUGGGCCAACACUGACACUGAGGCACGAAAGCGUGGGGAGCAAACAGGAUUAGAUACCCGCGUAGUCCCUGUCUCUUAUACAC
rnacentral:rRNA from 1 species